rnacentral:lncRNA from 1 species
CAUACAUUGAAUGGUUGGAACUUGCCUGUAUGCCGCCAUUUUGGGUAACAAAAGCAAUGAUGUGAUUAAGUCUAACACGAAGCAUAGAGAGGGAAAUUAAAAAGUUGAUUAUGAAAGAGCAUUUAUGAUUAAAGAGGUAACAAAGAUAAAACUAAAAAUAAGAAAAUAACAAAAACAUUUGGGAAAGAGAAAGUAAGACAGAGAAAAAAUGAUACAUUGAUCUUCUAGUCACAGCUGACUAAACAAUCACGGUUGUGUAACAAUGAUGAAAACAAUCACCAUUUAAGGGAUUGCUCCCGGGGGUGAGGAAAUCAGCCUGAGGACUGAAAGGGAAAGACACAGCCCACGGCUUUCAAUUUUCAUUUAGAAUCCAAUUUUAUUUAAAGAAGUAAUUAUGGCCAGGUGCAGCGGCUCAUAUCUGUAAUCCCAGGGCUUUGGGAGGCUGAGGUGGGCGCAUCAAGAGGUCAGGAGAUCGAGACCAUCCUGGCUAACAUGGAGAAACCCCGUCUCUACUAAAAAUACAAAAAAAUUAGCCGGGCAUGGUGGCGGGUGCCUGUAGUCCCAGCUACUCAGGAAGCUGAGGCAGGAGAAUGGCAUGAACCCGGGAGGUGGAGCUUUCAGUGAACCGAGAUCGCGCCACUGCACUCCAGCGUGGGCGACAGAGCGAGACUCCAUCUCAAAAAAAAAAAAAAAAAAAAAAAAAAGCAAUUACGAAAAUAAGAAAACAACCCCCUGCCCACAGAGCCAUAACCAUGUGAUUCUUCACAUUCAAACUUCCUCUAGUAUCUUCUAUAUCUAGAAAGUUUCCAAGACUUAAAAGGAGGGUUGAUUUAAAAAAAUAGUAUCUGGGAACUUCUCUGAAAAUCGUAAUAAAAAUGCACAGCCCUCCACUCUUCCUAACAAUCAACAGCGGUCAUAUCAGGAAAAGUGAUUUGAGGGCAGUGAACCCACUUCCCAGAGAAACAAACCAUGACUCGUAAAAGGAAUUUUUAAAAAGUGUGCUUUAAAGUCUUUGGAAACAUCCUACAGGUAUAUAGCAACUGAAAAGUGUCUCCUCAAGAAAGUCUACCAGGUCUCUGUAGAGCUAAGAAGGGCGUGUGGCCCUCCCAGCCCUGCUCAGCAGGACACAGCUCCACUCUGGGCGGCCGCAGGGUCAGGAGGAGGCUCCCUCUCCUCAUGGUCUUUCGGGUCCUGGUGAUUUUCUGGGAGGAGCAGGGCACCAGCUUCCUUACUCCCCCUGGCUGGAUGUCCCUGAGCUAAGUCCCAGGCGACUUCCAUCGCAGGAUGCAGCUCUUUCCCUCAGCCAGCCCCGCUUUGUAGGGCAGAAGCUCCUCCCAGGCUGAGGGCUGAGCUUCCUAGGCAGGUGGCCCUGACCCAGCUUGCUGGUGGGUUUCACACUGAUAGCAGCAAACCCAGAAGACCAGAGAUGGCUUUGACACCAGGCACCCAGCUUUUGAGGCAGGGCACCCCUGAGAGACAGUCCCCCUUGUCUUCACCCCAUCCCAGAUCCAAGUCAGUGGUUCAGAUUUUGCCCAGGGAGAGGCAGGCAGUAAGAACCGAGGCUCCAGAACUCUCUGGGAGAGCUGACUGUAUUUAGAACAGACAGUUGGAACAUUCAGGCCGGGCAGCAUUCCCCAUCACAAUGGAGAUGGUGGUGGCGAGCAAUUAGGAGGGCACAGAGAACUCUGUGACAGCAGCAGUGUCACCUUCAGGCCAGCUAAUUCGCAAGGAGAACACGAAUGAAGCAAAGAAGGAAUUUUAGAAAUAAAACGUACAUAAUGAAAGAAAACUUUCUUGAACUGGAAAACAGCCUGACUCUAUAAAGCAAAAAACCCUAAAAAACAGACCUCCUUCUGAAUGGUGGAGACUGCAUUCAUAGGAAAGUUGGCCUCUCCCCAAGGCAAAAUAAACGAAGAAGAAGAAUGUGUGGACACACACACAAACACUCCAUUAAAUUAUGAAGAUUAUGUUUUAUAAAGAAGUUUUCAACCAAAAAAAUUGUUCUGUAAAAAUGAUGGUUUCAUUGGUAAAAUUGGGGUUAAUUCUAGCAAAUUUAAGAUUCACAAAGUUAUUUUGCACUGCAAGAAUUUCUACUAAAAAUGAUUUGGAGCUAAUAACCUUGGCAUUACUGCAGAAGCUCUGUCUUUCCACACAGCAAGGCUUAGCUCACGUUGCACCUCCUCGAUUCUCC